rnacentral:rRNA from 1 species
UGAGGAAUAUUGGUCAAUGGACGCAAGUCUGAACCAGCCAAGUAGCGUGCAGGAUGACGGCCCUAUGGGUUGUAAACUGCUUUUAUAUGGGGAUAAAGCGGGGAACGUGUUCCCUUUUGCAGGUACCAUAUGAAUAAGGACCGGCUAAUUUCGUGCCAGCAGCCGCGGUAAUACGGAAGGUUCGGGCGUUAUACGGAUUUAUUGGGUUUAAAGGGAGCGUAGGCCGUUUGGUAAGCGUGUUGUGAAAUGUAGGAGCUCAACUUCUAGAUUGCAGCGCAAACUGUCAGACUUGAGUGCGGAAAGCGUAGGCGGAAUUCAUGGUGUAGCGGUGAAAUGCUUAGAUAUCGUGAAGAACACCGAUUGCGAAAGCGGCUUACGGGGGCGCAACUGACACUAAAGCUCGAAAGUGCGGGUAUCGAACAGG